UAUUUAGGUAGCGCCUCGUGAAUUCAUCUCCGGGGGUAGAGCACUGUUUCGGCUAGGGGGCCAUCCCGGCUUACCAACCCGAUGCAAACUGCGAAUACCGGAGAAUGUUAUCACGGGAGACACACGGCGGGUGCUAACGUCCGUCGUGAAGAGGGAAACAACCCAGACCGCCAGCUAAGGUCCCAAAGUCAUGGUUAAGUGGGAAACGAUGUGGGAAGGCCCAGACAGCCAGGAUGUUGGCUUAGAAGCAGCCAUCAUUUAAAGAAAGCGUAAUAGCUCACUGGUCGAGUCGGCCUGCGCGGAAGAUGUAACGGGGCUAAACCAUGCACCGAAGCUGCGGCAGCGACGCUGAUGCGUUGUUGGGUAGGGGAGCGUUCUGUAAGCCUGCGAAGGUGGCCUGUGAGGGUUGCUGGAGGUAUCAGAAGUGCGAAUGCUGACAUAAGUAACGAUAAAGCGGGUGAAAAGCCCGCUCGCCGGAAGACCAAGGGUUCCUGUCCAACGUUAAUCGGGGCAGGGUGAGUCGACCCCUAAGGCGAGGCCGAAAGGCGUAGUCGAUGGGAAACGGGUUAAUAUUCCCGUACUUGGUGUUACUGCGAAGGGGGGACGGAGAAGGCUAUGUUGGCCGGGCGACGGUU
rnacentral:rRNA from 1 species